rnacentral:rRNA from 1 species
UCGAGGGGUAUAGUAGCAAUACUAGAGACCGGCGCACGGGUGCGUAACGCGUAUGCAAUCUGCCUUUCACAGAGGGAUAGCCCAGAGAAAUUUGGAUUAAUACCUCAUAGUAUAAUGAGUUGGCAUCAACCCAUUAUUAAAGUCACAACGGUGAAAGAUGAGCAUGCGUCCCAUUAGCUAGUUGGUAAGGUAACGGCUUACCAAGGCGACGAUGGGUAGGGGUCCUGAGAGGGAGAUCCCCCACACUGGUACUGAGACACGGACCAGACUCCUACGGGAGGCAGCAGUGAGGAAUAUUGGUCAAUGGGCGCAAGCCUGAACCAGCCAUGCCGCGUGCAGGAUGACGGUCCUAUGGAUUGUAAACUGCUUUUGUACGGGAAGAAACAGCGAUUCGUGAAUCGCCUUGACGGUACCGUGAGAAUAAGGAUCGGCUACUCCGUGCCAUCAGCCGCGGUAAUACGGAGGAUCCAAGCGUUAUCCGGAAUCAUUGGGUUUAAAGGGUCCGUAGGCGGUUUUGUAAGUCAGUGGUGAAAGCCCAUCGCUCAACGGUGGAACGGCCAUUGAUACUGCAAGACUUGAAUUAUUAGGAAGUAACUAGAAUAUGUAGUGUAGCGGUGAAAUGCUUAGAGAUUACAUGGAAUACCAAUUGCGAAGGCAGGUUACUACUAAUGGAUUGACGCUGAU